rnacentral:rRNA from 1 species
AUACGGAGGGUGCAAGCGUUACUCGGAAUCACUGGGCGUAAAGCGCGCGCAGGCGGCCAUUUAAGUUGGAUGUGAAAGCCUACGGCUCAACCGUAGAACUGCAUCCAAAACUAUUUGGCUAGAGUGUGGGAGAGGAAGAUGGAAUUAGUUGUGUAGGGGUAAAAUCCGUAGAGAUAACUAGGAAUACCAAAAGCGAAGGCAAUCUUCUGGAACAUUACUGACGCUGAGGCGCGAAAGCGUGGGGAGCAAACAGGAUUAGAAACCCCGGUAGUCC